UAUAACAAAAAACCUCUUGAGAAAUAUAGGAUCCAGGUUAUCUUAAAACUCUGGAUAUUACAACAUAUGUCAUCAUCCAUGGCGGUUAUCAAGAGACCGAAGGAGUUUGGUAACUGGGUACAGAAAAAAUUAAUAAACACAUGAAAGAGAUGGCAUGUGAUUUUGGGGGAAAAAAAAGAAAAGGAUAACAACAACAAUAAAAAACAAAAAAGAAGAAGAAGAAGAAGAAAAAAAAGGGAAGAAAGAGCAGGCCCAGUAGCUUUCACGAUGGGGUGGCCGGUGUCCUCCUCCAAAGCUACCAUUCUGCGGCACGCUGGCCCCUGCAUAUUACAUCAAGGACAAAAAGUAUGGCAUCUUCUUCCGUCUUUUAUAUAUUUAUUAAAAAUUUAAGAUAAUUUUGUAAGUAGUAUGAUGCAUGACAGCCAACAAUUGUUAGGUUGGAACCUUUCUCUCGUAAGGCCUCGCCGUUGGAGUACUCUCAGAAAAAUGAUAACCAAGAUAACCAUUAUUUCGCAGAUUAGAGUAUAUAAGCCGCAAAUGUGAUCCAUGAACAAUGAUUCCAUGUGACAUCUCCACAUCUCAAAAUACACUUGACCUUUCAUAAAAUAUUGAAAACAAUAUGAUAAGCACUAUUAAGGGGUCCCCAUUUGCAUCUAGCAAGUUGCUAAAAUGUAUAGCAAAGAUUAAAUAAUACAUAAAUCUACAAACAAAUUCCGAAUAGUUUCAUCAGCAUUUUAUAAACUUUAUGAAUUAUUAAAUAGCUGUGAUAUAGGAAUUAUGAUCUCCUUUCCCCUUCCAAGGUUCCAGAAAUACUCCCAUUUUAGUAACAGCAGAA
rnacentral:lncRNA from 1 species